rnacentral:tRNA from 1 species
UCCGAUAUGGUGUAACGGUAACAUAAGCCGCUUUCACCGGCUAGCCCCGGGUUCGAUUCCCGGUAUCGGAA